GGGCACCACCAGGAGUGGAGCCUGCGGCUUAAUUUGACCCAACACGGGAAACCUCACCCGGCCCGGACACGGAAAGGAUUGACAGAUUGAUAGCUCUUUCUCGAUUCUGUGGGUGGUGGUGCAUGGCCGUUCUUAGUUGGUGGAGCGAUUUGUCUGGUUAAUUCCGAUAACGAACGAGACUCCUCCAUGCUAAAUAGUUACGCGGCCCCCGGUGGUCGGCGUUUGAACUUCUUAGAGGCACAAGAGGCGUUUAGCCACGCGAGAUGGAGCAAUAACAGGUCUGUGAUGCCCUUAGAUGUCCGGGGCUGCACGCGCGCCACAAUGGGUGGAUCAGCGUGUGUCUACUCUGCGCCGACAGGCGCGGGUAACCCGCUGAACCCCACUCGUGAUUGGGACUGGGGAUUGAAACUAUUUCCCAUCAACGAGGAAUUCCCAGUAAGCGCGGGUCAUAAGCUCGCGUUGAUUAAGUCCCUGCCCUUUGUACACACCGCCCGUCGCUACUACCGAUUGGAUGGUUUAGUGAGGUCC
rnacentral:rRNA from 1 species